GAUUACUGCAUAUAUAUAGGAUUACCGAAAUUUCAAGACUUGAUUUGUAUUAUCUGCUUCUAAGAACGAGCCGCUGAAGCUUUCAUUUAAAAGAAUUUGUUUUAUGCAUGUUCAGCUUCAAAAUGUGUGCUUGUACGCUUGAAAAAGACUUGGUUUGUACGAUUAUUUUCCUUUUCGGAUGCUGUCUUCUCCUGGCUCAUUUCUGGACAUGGAAUCCUGAAAACGCAAAUCUUUCUCUUAUUUUUCUACGAGCUUCCGUCGUUUCAGUGGCAGUCGGUGUAUGGCUUUACGCUUUCUCAAGACUUUGAAAUGAUAUUUCUUGAAGCAUACUAGGAAUUCAGAAGAGACUAGUACCAUAGGGUUGAGAUACAAAGAUAUUCUACCUGGAUGUAAUAUAAGGAUGUUUAUGGUUUUCAGUUAAUAUUGUUUGUAAAGAAAAACUUUGACUUAUUUUGACAAAUGCUUUUAUGAACUGCGCAACUUUGUUUUUACUUCGAGAAGUUUUAAUAAAAAACUAAAUGAA